ACGGGAGGCAGCAGUGGGGGAUAUUGUACAAUGGGGGAAACCCUGAUGCAGCGACGCCGCGUGAGCGAAGAAGUAUUUCGGUAUGUAAAGCUCUAUCAGCAGGGAAGAAAAUGACGGUACCUGACUAAGAAGCUCCGGCUAAAUACGUGCCAGCAGCCGCGGUAAUACGUAUGGAGCAAGCGUUAUCCGGAUUUACUGGGUGUAAAGGGAGCGUAGACGGUUUGCCAAGUCUGAUGUGAAAGGUGGGGGCUCAACCCCCAAACUGCAUUGGAAACUGGUAGACUAGAGUGUCGGAGAGGUAAGUGGAAUUCCUAGUGUAGCGGUGAAAUGCGUAGGUAUUAGGAGGAACACCAGUGGCGAAGGCGGCUUACUGGACGAUAACUGACGUUGAGGCUCGAAAGCGUGGGGAGCAAACAGGAUUGGAUACCCUGGUA
rnacentral:rRNA from 1 species